rnacentral:rRNA from 1 species
UACGUAGGGGGCAAGCGUUGUCCGGAAUCAUUGGGCGUAAAGAGCGUGUAGGCGGCUCGGUAAGUCCGCUGUGAAAGUCCAGGGCUCAACCCUGGAAUGCCGGUGGAAACUGUCGGGCUAGAGUCCGGAAGAGGCGAGUGGAAUUCCUGGUGUAGCGGUGAAAUGCGCAGAUAUCAGGAGGAACACCGAUUGCGAAGGCAGCUCGCUGGAACGUUACUGACGCUGAGACGCGAAAGCGUGGGGAGCAAACAGG